rnacentral:lncRNA from 1 species
CUCACUCUCCUGCCCCACCUCGACAUCCACAGCGAGGCAAUGAAGAAGCCCCCGCCAAGGAAGAGCCCACUUCUCAGUGGGACACCGGGAAGGUUACAUUAGUUAUAAUAUACACUCUGGAGGUGACUUGACUUGUCAUUGUGAACAACUAUUGCUCUUGGACGACCCAGGACAUAGGCCAGCCAGUACGUACCCCAGUGUGUUGGAGAAUCGCACUCGGCUUCUUCCUCUGUGCUGAGUCAUGAAAGUUGCCGGAGCAGGUGCAGUUACACAACCUCCAGGCAACAUCACAUGAUCGUUCAAAAAAUAAUCAUCAAGUCCAGGAUGCAGCAUCUGUCUCAGUUUUUGGCGUAGGAUGACAGUCUGAAAUACACUUACUGAAUUUGAAUAAGAAC